rnacentral:lncRNA from 1 species
AAAUUGAGCAAAAAGUCAAUAUCAUACAAUUUCUUCAAAGGUUUAUUCAUUGUUUUGUGGAAGUAACCAUAGACUAACAAAAUAAAUGUUUACAUAAAAGCAAAAUCAGACAAUACAAUGAGAUAUUAUGCAUUUGGUCAUUGGAUAACAAUCCAGUCUCUAUCAAAAUGUUUUAACUCAUAACUUAACAAUAAAAAAAGACUAUUCUCACCAACUUAUUUUUUUACAAUCCUUAAUAAUUUAUAGAUUUUCUAAAAUAUGACAAAAGUGAAUUGCUUUCUGUUUGUCAGCAUCUGUUUGAAAGCAUGAGUUUUUGCACAGAAAAAAAAGUACAGUACCGGACCGAAGCCUUGGGGUACAUUUAGUUUGCUGACUGAUUCUGUGUCCCUACAGGGUGUACAGGUAAAACAAUGGCUGUUCUGUGCCUCUGAAGCCUCAACACAUUGUUUUCCCCUUCAAAUCAAUCCCAUAAAUUCUCAAUGACGCCUUUUCUUCUGUUUCUUUCUAUUGGAGAACAGAGAGUUUAAAGUGCAGCUUUUAACGGUUUGCACAUUCAAGAAUAAGAGUCAUUGCUAAAAGUAACUUUGUGCAGCUUUUCUAAAUCACCCCUUGACCACAAGCACAGUCUAGGUUGUCAAACAAUGGGCCCAAACAGCACAGAGAAUUUAAAAAAGUGUAGAUUCUGACACAUAAACAGUACCUUGAAGAUAUACAUACAAUUAGUGAGUCGGCAGAAAAUGGCUGACUAGUUACAAUAACAGUCCAACUUGAUUUCUCUCAGUUGUGUACUUGGCAUUGGGUUGCUACAAUGUAAAUAACAUACUUUAUAAGUAUUUAAGGAGGAUUCUUUCCAUUCGGUCAAAAAAGGAACACAACGCGUUAUGGUUAAGUAAAACUUUGAUACAGCAGAACAACCACUGCGAUAAACAAACUCACAAUAACAAAUACUUGAACAAUUGCUUUGCUGGCUGACAAAGAGAUAAUACUGAAAAGGCUAGUUAUUUGUAAUUUUUUGAGAAAGUCUCUCUUGUUCUCUCUCUCUGGCUUCUUGUAAACAGCCAUUUGAAUGUGAUUCUGAACAGCUAAGCAGGAGUGAGUGUAGGAUUAAACGGCAUGGUGAGCUAGGCUGGGAUUCAAUCAAACCCGCCUUAGCAAUGUUUACUCGGUGUCUUUAUGUACAAUAUUCAUCACAUGCCCACGCACUUCUAAUUCUGAUACAGUACCCAAGACCAGUCUGUGAAUUCAUUUGACCAUUGGAAAAAUAACAACUGCGUAAAUACUGCAAUCCGGGUUGGAUUAAAUUGACCUCCUAGUCUUUUUUCCACUGUUGACGUACCUUGUUCUAAAGGAAAACAUAUAAGGGAGCAACACUGUACUUCAUAUAAUACUACACUGAUAACAGAAAGAAAAACAUCCCUUUAGUUCAUGGCCCUCUUUGAUUAAACAGAUACAGCACAGUGCCGACUAAACCUCCGACCCGAGUGUGUGUGGGUUUGCACGCCUGUCUGCUGGUCUGCCUGCGUGUGUGUGUGUGUGUGUGUGUGUGUGUGUGCACGUGAGCAUGCCUGCUGUAUGCUGGUGCUAGUUCAACAUUUGCUUGCGCUUUCCAGUUUAAAAGCCUCGAUAAGGAUCCAUCCCCUCUCAGAAAUAAAACCCCAAGGCCGAGCUGUGGAAAACAUGAUGGUGGUUGUGACUAACAACAGCACAAUGGAUCUGCUGGUAUCCUAUCCAUUCUGACCCUCAAGUGCUAGGUGUUAGUGUGUUUGGCUGGAGUGAAGUUUAUCUAUGUAUUCACAGUUAUUGUCUGUUUAGUUUAAUUUCAUUUAGCCACACACUGCUUUUUUUUUGUGUGUGUGUGUGUGUGUGUGUGUGUGUGUGUGUGUGUGUG